rnacentral:rRNA from 1 species
AUUGAACGCUGGCGGCAUGCCUUACACAUGCAAGUCGAACGGUAACGGGCCUUCGGGUGCCGACGAGUGGCGAACGGGUGAGUAAUGUAUCGGAACGUGCCCAGUAGUGGGGGAUAGCCCGGCGAAAGCCGGAUUAAUACCGCAUACGACCUACGGGUGAAAGGGGGGGAUCGCAAGACCUCUCGCUAUUGGAGCGGCCGAUAUCAGAUUAGGUAGUUGGUGGGGUAAAGGCCUACAAAGCCUGCGAUCUGUAGUUGGUCUGAGAGGACGACCAGCCACACUGGGACUGAGACACGGCCCAGACGCCUACGGGAGGCAGCAGUGGGGAAUUUUGGACAAUGGGCGCAAGCCUGAUCCAGCAAUGCCGCGUGCAGGAAGAAGGCCUUCGGGUUGUAAACUGCUUUUGUCAGGGAAGAAAUCCUCUGGGUUAAUACCUCGGGGGGAUGACGGUACCUGAAGAAUAAGCACCGGCUAACUACGUGCCAGCCGCCGCGGUAACAC